rnacentral:rRNA from 1 species
AUUGAACGCUGGCGGCAUGCCUAACACAUGCAAGUCGAACGGCAGCAUGACGUGUAGCAAUACACGUUGAUGGCGAGUGGCGGACGGGUGAGGAAUGCAUCGGAAUCUGCCCAGUCGUGGGGGAUAACGUAGGGAAACUUACGCUAAUACCGCAUACGACUACGCGUUGAAAGACGCGGGGUGAAAGCGGGGGAUCGAAAGACCUCGCGCGA